rnacentral:rRNA from 1 species
GACGAACGCUGGCGGCGUGCUUAACACAUGCAAGUCGAACGGAAAGGCCCUGCUUUUGUGUGUUUCUCUAGUGGCGAACGGGUGAGUAACACGUGAGUAACCUGCCCUUGACUUUGGGAUAACUUCAGGAAACUGGGGCUAAUACCGGAUAGUAGCUCCUGCUGCAUGGUGGGGGUUGGAAAGUUUCGGCGGUUGGGGAUGUGCGCGCGGCUUAUCAGCUUGUUGGUGGGGUAGUGGCUUACCAAGGCUUUGACGGGUCGGCGGCAUGUGAGGGUGAACGGGGACAUUGGGACUGAGAUACGGCCCAGACGCGUACGGGAGACAGCAGUGGGGAAUAUUGCACAACGGGCGGAAGCCUAAGGCAGAAACGCCGCGGGUGGGAAGACGGCCCUCGGGUUGUAAACCGCUUACGCCUGUGACGAAGCGUGAGUGACGGUAAUGGGUAAAGAAGCACCGGCUAACUACGUG